rnacentral:rRNA from 1 species
UACGGAGGAUGCGAGCGUUAUCCGGAUUUAUUGGGUUUAAAGGGUGCGUAGGCGGAAUAUCAAGUCAGCGGUAAAAUGUCGGUGCUCAACACCGGCCGGCCGUUGAAACUGGCAGCCUUGAGUGAGCGAGAAGUAUGCGGAAUGCGUGGUGUAGCGGUGAAAUGCGUAGAUAUUAGGAGGAACACCAGUGGCGAAGGCGGCCUGCUGGACGAUGACUGACGUUGAGGCUCGAAAGCGUGGGGAGCAAACAGG